AUUGAACGCUGGCGGCAGGCCUAACACAUGCAAGUCGAGCGAGCGGCGGACGGGUGAGUAAUUUCUGGGAAACUGCCUGAUGGGGGGGGAUAACUACUGGAAACGGUAGCUAAUACCGCAUACCCUCAGAUGUGCCCAGAUGGGUUUAGCGAGUAGGUGGGGUAACGGCUCACCUAGGCGACGAUCCCUAGCUGGUCUGAGAGGAUGACCAGCCACACUGGAACUGAGACACGGUCCAGACUCCUACGGGAGGCAGCAGUGGGGAAUAUUGCACAAUGGGCGCAAGCCUGAUACAGCCAUGCCGCGUGUGUGAAGAAGGCCUUCGGGUUGUAAAGCACUUUCAGCGGGGAGGCGUUACCCGCAGAAGAAGCACCGGCUAACUCCGUGCCAGCAGCCGCGGUAAUAC
rnacentral:rRNA from 1 species